CCUACGGGAGGCAGCAGUGGGGAAUCUUGCGCAAUGGGCGAAAGCCUGACGCAGCAACGCCGCGUGCGGGAAGAAGGCUUUCGGGCUGUAAACCGCUUUCAGCAGGAACGAAAAUGACGGUACCUGCAGAAGAAGGAGCGGCCAACUAUGUGCCAGCAGCCGCGGUGAUACAUAGGCUUCAAGCGUUGUCCGGAUUUAUUGGGCGUAAAGAGUUCGUAGGCGGUCGAGUAAGUCGGGUGUGAAAAUUCUGGGCUCAACCCAGAGACGCCACCCGAUACUGCUUGACUUGAGUUCGAUAGGGGAGUGGGGAAUUCCUAGUGUAGCGGUGAAAUGCGCAGAUAUUAGGAGGAACACCGGUGGCGAAGGCGCCACUCUGGAUCGAUACUGACGCUGAGGAACGAAAGCAUGGGUAGCAAACAGGAUUAGAUACCCUGGUAGUCCAUGCCGUAAACGGUGGGCACUAGGUGUGGGAUUCUAUUAACGAAUUCCGCGCCGUCGCUAACGCAUUAAGUGCCCCGCCUGGGGAGUACGGUCGCAAGACUAAAACUCAAAAGAGUAAGUGACGNGAGAGACGCGACGACGACGACGACGGAGGAGGAG
rnacentral:rRNA from 1 species